CAGCAGCCGCGGGAAUACGUAGGGUGCGAGCGUUAAUCGGAAUUACUGGGCGUAAAGCGUGCGCAGGCGGUUCGUUAAGACAGAUGUGAAAUCCCCGGGCUUAACCUGGGAACUGCAUUUGUGACUGACGGGCUAGAGUAUGGCAGAGGGGGGUAGAAUUCCACGUGUAGCAGUGAAAUGCGUAGAGAUGUGGAGGAAUACCGAUGGCGAAGGCAGCCCCCUGGGCCAAUACUGACGCUCAUGCACGAAAGCGUGGGGAGCAAACAGGAUUAGAUACCCGAGUAGUCCCUGUCUCUUAACA
rnacentral:rRNA from 1 species